rnacentral:rRNA from 1 species
UACGUAGGGUGCAAGCGUUGUCCGGAAUUAUUGGGCGUAAAGAGCUCGUAGGCGGUUUGUCGCGUCGAAUGUGAAAACCCGGGGCUCAACCCCGGGCCUGCAUUCGAUACGGGCAGACUAGAGUUCGGUAGGGGAGUCUGGAAUUCCUGGUGUAGCGGUGAAAUGCGCAGGAUAUCAGGAGGAACACCGGUGGCGAAGGCGGAUCUCUGGGCCAUUACUGACGCUGAGGAGCGAAAGCGUGGGGAGCGAACAGG